GACAGGGUGGCCGAGUGGUCCAAGGCGCUACGUUCAGGUCGUAGUUUCUUUUAUAGAAGCAUGGGUUCGAAUCCCGUCCCUGUUA
rnacentral:tRNA from 1 species